AAAGAUUUUGGAGGAGAAACAGUAGGACUUAGAAACCUCUCUACAAAUGGAAGAGCAGUGUGCUGGGUUGAACAGCAUUGGCGAUUCCCACAUGCCAAACACUCUGGCUGCAUUUCUCCAGUAAAUAACAUGAAAUGUAACACAUCACAUUCUGAGCUGAAUGAUAAAAGCCUCAGAUAAGUUCCGAGAAAGUCACAGCCUUGCAUAGUUUGGGUAAAAUCACUCAUUUUAUUUCACCUUGUCAUAAUAGCGUCUCUGAGAAGAAAUCCCUACUGAGUUCAAAUAUGUUUUCAGCAUGAUUUCUUUGCUUCUUGGGGGAUGGGGCAGAGUGUAGGAGGGCUGCUAACUCCCAUAAAGGUUUCCUAGUCAGCACAGGAAAGCCCUGGCUGGUCGCUAAUUAGGAUCAGAUGGGUGGAGGUAGGCUCAGCACAAUGAGCACACUAUAGGUUAGCUCAGCCAGAUCCUAUUUUGGAGAAGCAGAGGAUCUGAGAAAUGCUGCUUUCACUUGGACUGCACGGCCUUCUGAUCAGCAUGCAGAAGCAGAGCCCACUACUGCUUAUCUGUUUGAUGAGCACACCAGAGAUGGAGGCACGGAGAUGGCCUGGAACCAUGGUGGAUAGUAGCACCUGAUGUUUCUUGUUUCUUCCCUAUAGCCUCUAAGAAACACACAGCCUCCCUGUAGCCUCUAAAAAACCCACUGAGAUCCUAAGAAAUAU
rnacentral:lncRNA from 1 species